AUCCGCAGCGAUCUGUGACCAUC
rnacentral:miRNA from 1 species